rnacentral:lncRNA from 1 species
GGUAUUGCUCCAUAUGCCUGAGACCCUAACAAAAGCCUAAUUACAACUCAUAUGCCUGGAGCCAGGACAUGUGCAGGAUGGUGAUGUAACUUUCCUCUCUGGAAUGGGUCCUGCACAAAGGAAUGAUAGUAACAUAUUGCAAAGCCAGACACACAGCCAUGAUGGUCCAAGUUAUAUUGGGAUUCAGCCAAUAGAAGAUAUUUUGCCUGUCAUCCCUAAGCUUAGGACAAUAGGGUCCUGCCCACAAGAAAGAUUGUGACAUCUCACUGGACAAGCACCCACCCAGACUCUGCCAAGAGAGGGGAUUAUUACAUAUUGCAGAGCCCAGCACCUAGGUGGAGUGACUCUCAUCUUUUUCUUCUACCCCGUAUAUAGCCAGCUUGGUGACCUACUAUUUGAGUCUAUACCCAGGCCCAGACCACAGAUGAAAUUGUGCAAUAUGUGGAACAAACACCUAAACAAUAUAUAACACCUUCCUUGGCUCUGUCUACAAAGGGCACUUUUAUAUAUCACUGGGACCAUCAACCAGGGUCCUGCGUACUAGGUGGAUUGUGACAUCUCACUGGACCCGCAACCAUGUAGGUCAUGUGACUUUCAUGCCUUCUCACUGGCCACAGGUGAUGUUGUGCCAUAUAACUGAGACCGUAUCAAAAGCCUAAUAACAAGACGUAUGUCUGGAGCCCCGAUAUGCACAGGAUGGUGAUAUAACCCUCUUCUCUGGAAUGGGCCCCACACAAAGGAAGGAUAGUGACAUAUUGCAAGCCCAGGCACACAGGCCCAGAGCACAGUUGAAAUUGUGACAUAUGUACACCAAGCAACCAAGCAAUGUAUAACACCUCAUUUGGCAAUGGAAUCGAGGGCACUUUUACAUAUCACUGAGACCAGCGCCCAGCUGAUGUGAAAUAUUGGCCUGAACCCUGCCUACAAAAGCAUUGUGGCUUUUAUCUAGCUCCAUUACAUAAGUGAUGUGA